rnacentral:rRNA from 1 species
UACGUAGGGUGCGAGCGUUGUCCGGAAUUAUUGGGCGUAAAGAGCUCGUAGGCGGUGUGUCACGUCGGCCGUGAAAACCUGCAGCUUAACUGUGGGCGUGCGGUCGAUACGGGCAUCACUGGAGUUCGGCAGGGGAGACUGGAAUUCCGUGGUGAUAGCGGUGAAAUGCGCAGAUAUCAGGAGGAACACCGGUGGCGAAGGCGGGUCUCUGGGCCAUUACUGACGCUGAGGAGCGAAAGCGUGGGGAGCGAACAGG